rnacentral:rRNA from 1 species
AUUGAACGCUGGCGGCAGGCCUAACACAUGCAAGUCGAGCGAGCGGCGGACGGGUGAGUAAUGUAUGGGGACUGCCCGAUAGGGGGGGAUAACUACUGGAAAAGGUGGCUCAUACCGCAUACUAUCGGAUAACCCAUCGGGGAGUAGCUAGUAGGGGGGGUAAAGGAGCAACUAGGCGACGAUCUCUAGCUGGUCUGAGAGGAUGAUUAGACACACUGGUACGGAGACAAGGCCCAGAAUCCGACGGAGGCAGCGUUGGGGAUUAUUGCACAAUGGGCGCAAUCCUGAUGCAGCCAUGCGGUGUGUAUGAAGAAGGCCUUAGGGUUGUAAAGUACGUUCAGCGGGGAGGCGUUACCCGCAGAAGAAGCACCGGCUAACUCCGUGCCAGCAGCCGCGGUAAUAC